UUUUUGGAUUGUUUUUGAAAGGUGACCGGGGAUUCCAUCCUGAGGAAUGUUACAGUAGAUUUGAGUCUCACUGCUGCAGGGCCGGCCCGUGGCAUAAAAGAAUCCAACACCCCUCUGCACACUAGCUCCCUCCUAGUGCCUGCUAUGGAUUCUCGUAGUGCCUGCUAUGCUAUGGAUUGGGGCGACAUAGCUCAGGAGACCUGCUGCUGCCAGAGGUGGCAAGGGGAGGGCAAGGAGAGGAAGGUGAAGAGGGUGGGAGCGCAGAGGAAGAGAGGAGGACAGUGACAGGCAGCAGAAAAGAGAGCGAAUGGGGCCUGGAUCUUGUUUAUAAGUAUAAUGACUUGGUGUCCAUGCUAAUGGACCCUGGACUUGGUUGCACCUUUCCAGAGGAAAAGUCCAGCCAAAAGAAGUUAGCCCCUUGCUACAACAGAAACACACAGGCCCUCAAGAAGGCCUCAAAAGAAAAAUGGCAUCCCAUCACAGGCCUGCUAGUUCCCUGGAUCCUAUCCUAGGCCUGCUUCAGAAGAGUUCCGUGGAUCCUAUUCUAGACCUGCUAGUUUCCUGGAUCUUAUCCAAGGCCUGCUAGUUUCCUGGAUCUUAUCCUAGGCCUGCUAGUUUCCUGGAUCCUAUCCUAAACCUACUAGUUUCCUGGAUCCUAUCCUGAGCCUGCUAGUUUCCCUGAUCCUAUCCUAGGCCUGCUAGUUUCCUGGAUCCAAUCCUAGGCCUGCUAGUUUCCUGGAUCCUAUCCUGAGCCUGCUAGUUUCCCUGAUCCUAUCCUAGGCCUGCUAGUUUCCUGGAUCCAAUCCUAGGCCUGCUAGUUUCCUGGAUCCUAUCCUAGGCCUGCUAGUUUCCUGGAUCCUAUCCUAAGCCUGCUAGUUUCCUGGAUCCUAUCCUAGGCCUGCUAGUUUCCUGGAUCCAAUCCUACGCCUGCUAGUCCCAUGGAUAAUAUCAUAAGCCUGCUUCAGAAGAGUUCCCGGGAUCCUAUCCUAAGCCUGCUAGUUUCCUGGAUCCAAUCCUAGGCCUGCUUCAGGUUUGGGUCUCCCCUGCACUGAGCCAUGUAGCAUGCGGUGCAUGUUGGACAUUUUUAUAGCCUGUUGUAUGCAGUUUGACUGAGUCAAUCUGCAUUAUGCUGUUCUAGCUAAAGAAGCACCCAGCCCUGGGUCAUUGGAUGACUAACACAGAGAAAGAAAAUGACAAGUGAACUUUGUCAGCAGUGACUGUUAGAAUGUUACUGGACUUCCUGUGUGGAAAGCCUUCCAUUUCUGGGUUUGUCAAACGGUAUCUAAAAGGUCAUUGGGUGU